rnacentral:lncRNA from 1 species
CAAAGUGAACACUGAACAUUUUGGCUUCCUCCUCCCUCGGAAUUCUGGAGAGUUCCUGAGAUGCUCAGAAGCAAGGUUGCCAUGGUGAGAUUUAACUAUGUAUGUGAAACUCACUCUUGCCCCAUGGACAAAGAUGGAGGGUGUGAGGGACACCCCCUCCCACAACCCCCAGAGGACAGAAAUUCACACAGGUGUCUUCAUGAAAGCCAAAGGAAAACCCCUCAGUCUGGUGUGACUGAGCUCGUGAAGGUGUGGGAGAGCACAGACGGGAGCAGGUCAGGGGGGCGCCCUGGCAGUGGCCGGUGCUUGGUGCUGCCAGGGAAUAAAGCAGAGGAAGGCAGGCCUUGGAGGCCUUUUCAAAGUCACACACAGCCAGUUAAGUGGUGCAAUCGCAACUCCAUCUGGCCUGAUAUGACCCAAAAGCCCAUGAUGAUCUCACACAGAGGAACUUGGCUUCCACCAGGCAUCCCUGGAGCCCAGCAGCAGAUUCAAGGGACUCUUCCAAGAUUUAAAGACAAAGGUCAACACUCAACAUACUGCCAACUCCUUGAGACUGCGGACCUUCUCUAUCAAUCCCAUAAUGUAUGGACUGCAGAAGGUCCUCACUGAGGGCUAAGUGAAUGAAGUGGGGAGGCUGGCACCUCCAAAUCACACCCUGAUGUGUGCUUCAUCUUGGCCACUCUGGGGCUGACUCAGCCACAGCUGUGGAAGAGAGAUCUCCUGAGCCUUGUUCAUCUCCCCCAGGGCUCCGCUCCAGACCAGCAAAGCCUCCCAUUGAUGAAAAAGGACAGGCAGCAAGGGAAGGAUGCUCCCCUGACAGCACGUGAGAGCAAUUGUUGGGGCUUCCAAGACUAGCACCCACUGUUGCUUCAAGGCCAGGGCUUGGCUGGCCAGGGUAAAAGGACCAAGUUGUCCUAUAUGUCUCAAAACUACUGCAGCUCAAAGUCCCCCACCUGGAAGCAUUCUUUAAUCUCCUCUUCCCUGCUUCGCUCUUCUUCACA